GAUGAACGCUGGCGGCGUGCCUAACACAUGCAAGUCGAACGGAGUUCUUGAGGAAUGCGACUUCGGUCAAAUGACUUUUGAACUUAGUGGCGGACGGGUGAGUAACGCGUGAGCAACCUGCCUUUCAGAGGGGGAUAACAUUUGGAAACAGAUGCUAAUACCGCAUAAGAUUACAGUACCGCAUGAUACAGUGAUCAAAGGAGCAAUCCGCUGAAAGAUGGGCUCGCGUCCGAUUAGAUAGUUGGUGAGGUAACGGCUCACCAAGUCGACGAUCGGUAGCCGGACUGAGAGGUUGAACGGCCACAUUGGGACUGAGACACGGCCCAGACUCCUACGGGAGGCAGCAGUGGGGAAUAUUGCACAAUGGGCGAAAGCCUGAUGCAGCAACGCCGCGUGAGGGAAGACGGUUUUCGGAUUGUAAACCUCUGUUUUCGGUGACGAACAAAUGACGGUAACCGAGUAGGAAGCCACGGCUAACUACGUGCCAGCAGCC
rnacentral:rRNA from 1 species